rnacentral:rRNA from 1 species
GGUUAAGCGACUAAGCGUACACGGUGGAUGCCCUGGCAGUCAGAGGCGAUGAAGGGCGUGCUAAUCUGCGAUAAGCGCCGGUAAGGUGAUAUGAACCGUUAUAACCGGCGAUACCCGAAUGGGGAAACCCAGUGUGACUCGUCACACUAUCAUUAACUGAAUCCAUAGGUUAAUGAGGCGAACCGGGGGAACUGAAACAUCUAAGUACCCCGAGGAAAAGAAAUCAACCGAGAUUCCCCCAGUAGCGGCGAGCGAACGGGGAGGAGCCCAGAGCCUGAAUCAGCAUGUGUGUUAGUGGAAGCGUCUGGAAAGACGCGCGAUACAGGGUGACAGCCCCGUACACAAAAGCGUAUGUGCUGUGAGCUCGAUGAGUAGGGCGGGACACGUGGUAUCCUGUCUGAAUAUGGGGGGACCAUCCUCCAAGGCUAAAUACUCCUGACUGACCGAUAGUGAACCAGUACCGUGAGGGAAAGGCGAAAAGAACCCCGGCGAGGGGAGUGAAAAAGAACCUGAAACCGUGUACGUACAAGCAGUGGGAGCACAGGUUUACCUGUGUGACUGCGUACCUUUUGUAUAAUGGGUCAGCGACUUAUAUUCUGUAGCAAGGUUAACCGAAUAGGGGAGCCGGAGGGAAACCGAGUCUUAACCGGGCGUUAAGUUGCAGGGUAUAGACCCGAAACCCGGUGAUCUAGCCAUGGGCAGGUUGAAGGUUGGGUAACACUAACUGGAGGACCGAACCGACUAAUGUUGAAAAUUAGCGGAUGACCUGUGGCUGGGGGUGAAAGGCCAAUCAAACCGGGAGAUAGCUGGUUCUCCCCGAAAGCUAUUUAGGUAGCGCCUCGUGAAUUCAUCUCCGGGGGUAGAGCACUGUUUCGGCUAGGGGGUCAUCCCGACUUACCAACCCGAUGCAAACUGCGAAUACCGGAGAAUGUUAUCACGGGAGACACACGGCGGGUGCUAACGUCCGUCGUGAAGAGGGAAACAACCCAGACCGCCAGCUAAGGUCCCAAAGUCAUGGUUAAGUGGGAAACGAUGUGGGAAGGCCCAGACAGCCAGGAUGUUGGCUUAGAAGCAGCCAUCAUUUAAAGAAAGCGUAAUAGCUCACUGGUCGAGUCGGCCUGCGCGGAAGAUGUAACGGGGCUAAACCAUGCACCGAAGCUGCGGCAGCGACACUCAGGUGUUGUUGGGUAGGGGAGCGUUCUGUAAGCCUGCGAAGGUGGCCUGUGAGGGUUGCUGGAGGUAUCAGAAGUGCGAAUGCUGACAUAAGUAACGAUAAAGCGGGUGAAAAGCCCGCUCGCCGGAAGACCAAGGGUUCCUGUCCAACGUUAAUCGGGGCAGGGUGAGUCGACCCCUAAGGCGAGGCCGAAAGGCGUAGUCGAUGGG